GUGCUCGUUUCGGCAGCGCAUAUACACAAAUCACGGCGAUACAGAGAUUAGCAUGGUCCCUGCGCAAGGGUGACACACAAAUUUGUUAUGUGUUCUAUUAAAAA
ensembl:snRNA U6 U6 spliceosomal RNA